UGCCGUCGCCCACAAGCUUUUCUUCGCCGCUCCCACUCUCCCUUCUCCCUCUUCUGUUCUCCCACGUUCCCUUCUCCGGCGACACUCUUGUUUGUUCGACACCAAGACCUUCUUCAGCUGCGAACUGUUUUGAGGUGAAACAGAAGAGCCGAUGAGGAAGCUGAAGUUUCACGAGCAGAAGCUUUUGAAGAAGGUCAACUUCUUAGAAUGGAAGAGAGAAGGAGGUCAUAGAGAAACCCAAGUGAUGCAUCGCUAUCACAUCACCGGACGGGAUGAUUACAAGAAGUAUUCGAGCAUAUGCCGGGGCGUCCAGAAGCUGGUUUGCAUGUUGAAGAAGAUGAACGAGAAAGACCCUUUCCGAUUGGAAUUAACCGAGAAACUCCUCGAAAAGCUGUACAAUAUGGGCGUGAUACCAACCAGACAGAGCUUGAAUUUAUGCGAUCGCCUGUCAGUGUCAUCCUUUUGCAGACGGAGGCUGUCGACAGUACUGGUACGUUUGAAAUUCGCCGAGCACUUGAGGGAAGCUGUUACAUACAUUGAGCAAGGGCAUAUUAGAGUUGGUCCAGAGACAGUUAAUGACCCAGCAUUCCUAGUUACAAGGAACAUGGAGGACUUCAUCACAUGGGUUGAUUCAUCGAAGAUAAAGAGAAAGGUUCUACAAUAUAACGAUAAGUUGGAUGAUUUCGAUGCAAUGAACUGUUGAGAGAUGAGUUGUACUAUCCAAGUUUUGGUUCCUUUUGGAGCACCUCAUCUUGUAUGAAUCCUUUCUCUGCCACCCUUUUUAGAUCUAAUUUUGUGUUAUGUAGAGCCAACGAGUUUGGAUAAAUUUAGGUUGUAUUGAUAUAUUUGAUAUCUAUUUUCAUU